UACGUAGGGUGCGAGCGUUGUCCGGAAUUAUUGGGCGUAAAGGGCUCGUAGGCGGUCUGUUGCGUCAGGAGUGAAAACUCGGGGCUUAACCCCGAGCCUGCUUCUGAUACGGGCAGACUAGAGGUAUGCAGGGGAGAACGGAAUUCCUGGUGUAGCGGUGAAAUGCGCAGAUAUCAGGAGGAACACCGGUGGCGAAGGCGGCUCACUGGACCGGUACUGACGCUGAUGCGCGAAAGCGUGGGGAGCAAACGGG
rnacentral:rRNA from 1 species